rnacentral:rRNA from 2 species
AAAUUGAAGAGUUUGAUCAUGGCUCAGAUUGAACGCUGGCGGCAGGCCUAACACAUGCAAGUCGAACGGUAACAGGAAGCAGCUUGCUGCUUCGCUGACGAGUGGCGGACGGGUGAGUAAUGUCUGGGAAACUGCCUGAUGGAGGGGGAUAACUACUGGAAACGGUGGCUAAUACCGCAUAACGUCGCAAGACCAAAGAGGGGGACCUUCGGGCCUCUUGCCAUCAGAUGUGCCCAGAUGGGAUUAGCUUGUUGGUGAGGUAACGGCUCACCAAGGCGACGAUCCCUAGCUGGUCUGAGAGGAUGACCAGCCACACUGGAACUGAGACACGGUCCAGACUCCUACGGGAGGCAGCAGUGGGGAAUAUUGCACAAUGGGCGCAAGCCUGAUGCAGCCAUGCCGCGUGUAUGAAGAAGGCCUUCGGGUUGUAAAGUACUUUCAGCGGGGAGGAAGGUGUUGCGGUUAAUAACCGCAGCAAUUGACGUUACCCGCAGAAGAAGCACCGGCUAACUCCGUGCCAGCAGCCGCGGUAAUACGGAGGGUGCAAGCGUUAAUCGGAAUUACUGGGCGUAAAGCGCACGCAGGCGGUCUGUCAAGUCGGAUGUGAAAUCCCCGGGCUCAACCUGGGAACUGCAUUCGAAACUGGCAGGCUUGAGUCUUGUAGAGGGGGGUAGAAUUCCAGGUGUAGCGGUGAAAUGCGUAGAGAUCUGGAGGAAUACCGGUGGCGAAGGCGGCCCCCUGGACAAAGACUGACGCUCAGGUGCGAAAGCGUGGGGAGCAAACAGGAUUAGAUACCCUGGUAGUCCACGCCGUAAACGAUGUCUACUUGGAGGUUGUGCCCUUGAGGCGUGGCUUCCGGAGCUAACGCGUUAAGUAGACCGCCUGGGGAGUACGGCCGCAAGGUUAAAACUCAAAUGAAUUGACGGGGGCCCGCACAAGCGGUGGAGCAUGUGGUUUAAUUCGAUGCAACGCGAAGAACCUUACCUGGUCUUGACAUCCACAGAACUUUCCAGAGAUGGACUGGUGCCUUCGGGAACUGUGAGACAGGUGCUGCAUGGCUGUCGUCAGCUCGUGUUGUGAAAUGUUGGGUUAAGUCCCGCAACGAGCGCAACCCUUAUCCUUUGUUGCCAGCGAUUAGGUCGGGAACUCAAAGGAGACUGCCAGUGAUAAACUGGAGGAAGGUGGGGAUGACGUCAAGUCAUCAUGGCCCUUACGACCAGGGCUACACACGUGCUACAAUGGCGCAUACAAAGAGAAGCGACCUCGCGAGAGCAAGCGGACCUCAUAAAGUGCGUCGUAGUCCGGAUUGGAGUCUGCAACUCGACUCCAUGAAGUCGGAAUCGCUAGUAAUCGUGGAUCAGAAUGCCACGGUGAAUACGUUCCCGGGCCUUGUACACACCGCCCGUCACACCAUGGGAGUGGGUUGCAAAAGAAGUAGGUAGCUUAACCUUCGGGAGGGCGCUUACCACUUUGUGAUUCAUGACUGGGGUGAAGUCGUAACAAGGUAACCGUAGGGGAACCUGCGGUUGGAUCACCUCCUUA